UAUGCCCACACCACCUUGAAACACUGGUCCCCGUACGAUCCUAGAAGUUAAGCAACUUCGAGCUUGGUCAGUAUCUAGAUAGGUAAACGUUUGGGAAUAUCAGGUGUCAU